UACGUAGGGUGCGAACGUUGUUCGGAAUCACUGGGCAUAAAGGGCGCGUAGGCGGUCUGAUAAGUCAAGUGUGAAAUCCCUCGGCCUAACCGAGGAACUGCAUUUGAUACUGUCGGGCUAGAGUACAGGAGGGGAGAGUGGAAUUCCUGGUGGAGCGGUGAAAUGCGUAGAUAUCAGGAGGAACGCCGGCGGCGAAAGCGACUCUCUGCCUGUUACUGACGCUGAGGCGCGAAAGCUAGGGGAGCAAACGGG
rnacentral:rRNA from 1 species